UUUAAACAACGGUUUUCGUACGAUCACCAAAGUUAAGCAAUGUCGAGCCUGGUCAUUGCCUCGAUGGGUGACCGCUUGGGAAUACCUGGUGCCGUAAG